rnacentral:rRNA from 1 species
GACGAACGCUGGCGGCGUGCUUAACACAUGCAAGUCGAACGGAAAGGCCCUGCUUGCAGGGUGCUCGAGUGGCGAACGGGUGAGUAACACGUGGGUGAUCUGCCCCUUACUUUGGGAUAAGCCUGGGAAACUGGGUCUAAUACUGGAUAGGACCAUGCUGUAGGUGGUGUGGUGGAAAGAUUUUUUCGGUAAGGGAUGAGCUCGCGGCCUAUCAGCUUGUUGGUGGGGUAAUGGCCUACCAAGGCGUCGACGGGUAGCCGGCCUGAGAGGGUGGACGGCCACAUUGGGACUGGGAUACGGCCCAGACUCCUACGGGAGGAAGCAGUGGGGAAUAUUGCACAAUGGGCGCAAGCCUGAUGCAGCGACGCCGCGGGGGGGAUGACGGCCUUCGGGUUGUAAACUCCUUUCAGCCAUGACGAAGCCUCUUUUGGGGUGACGGUAGUGGUAGAAGAAGCACCGGCUAACUACGUG